UACGUAGGGCGCGAGCGUUGUCCGGAAUUAUUGGGCGUAAAGAGCUCGUAGGCGGUGUGUCGCGUCGGAUGUGAAAGCCCGGGGCUUAACUCCGGGUCUGCAUUCGAUACGGGCAGACUAGAGUGUGGUAGGGGAGAUCGGAAUUCCUGGUGUAGCGGUGAAAUGCGCAGAUAUCAGGAGGAACACCGGUGGCGAAGGCGGAUCUCUGGGCCAUUACUGACGCUGAGGAGCGAAAGCGUGGGGAGCGAACAGG
rnacentral:rRNA from 1 species